UACGAAGGGGGCUAGCGUUGCUCGGAAUCAUUGGGCGUAAAGAGCGUGUAGGCGGUCCGGUAAGUCCGCUGUGAAAGUCGGGGGCUCAACCCUCGAAUGCCGGUGGAUACUGUCGGGCUAGAGUGCGGAAGAGGCGAGUGGAAUUCCUGGGUGUAGCGGUGAAAUGCGCAGAUAUCAGGAGGAACACCUAUUGCGAAGGCAGCUCGCUGGGACGUGACUGACGCUGAGACGCGAAAGCGUGGGGAGCAAACAGG
rnacentral:rRNA from 1 species